rnacentral:rRNA from 1 species
GACGACGCUGGCGGCGUGGAUUAGGCAUGCAAGUCGAACGGUAUCAUCCUUCGGGGUGAGAGAGUGGCGAACUGGUGAGUAACACGUAGGUUAUCUACCUCGAAGACGGGGACAACCCAGGGAAACUUGGGCUAAUACCGGAUGUGAGCAACUUUUAGUUGUUUGAAAGGUGGCGUAAGCUGUCGCUUGGGGAUGAGCCUGCGUCCUAUUAGUUAGUUGGUGAGGUAACGGCUCACCUAGGCAAUGAUAGGUAGGCGGCCUUAACGGGUGGUCGCCCACACUGGGAUUGAGAUACGGCCCAGACUCCUACGGGAGGCAGCAGUCGAGAAUAGUCUACAAUGGUCGGAAGACUGAUAGUGCGACGCCGCGUGAACGAUGAAUCCCUUCGGGGUGUAAAGUUCUUUUAUAUGUGAGCAGUGCUUCUUAUAUUAACAGUAUGGGGAGAGAGAUAUUAGCAUAUGAAUAAGCAACGGCUAACUCCGUG